UACGUAGGAGGCAAGCGUUGUCCGGAAUCAUUGGGCGUAAAGCGCGCGUAGGCGGGUUGCUAAGUCCGCUGUGAAAGCCCGAGGCUCAACCUCGGAGGGUCGGUGGAUACUGGCAGCCUUGAAGGGGGUAGGGGGAGAUGGGAAUUACCGGGUGUAGCGGUGAAAAUGCGUAGAGAUCGGUAGGAACACCCGUGGCGAAGGCGGCUCUCUGGGACGGUACUGACGCUGAGACGCGAAAGCGUGGGGAGGCGAACAGG
rnacentral:rRNA from 1 species